rnacentral:rRNA from 1 species
UACGUAGGGGGCAAGCGUUGUCCGGAAUUAUUGGGCGUAAAGAGCGCGUAGGCGGUCUGUCACGUCGGCUGUGAAAUCCCGAGGCUCAACCUCGGGUCUGCAGUCGAUACGGGCAAACUAGAGUAUUGCAGGGGAGACUGGAAUUCCUGGUGUAGCGGUGAAAUGCGCAGAUAUCAGGAGGAACACCGGUGGCGAAGGCGGGUCUCUGGGCAAUAACUGACGCUGAGGAGCGAAAGCGUGGGGAGCGAACAGG